UCCCUGGCAGUCUAGUGGUUAGGACUUGGCACUUUCACUGCCAUGACCCUGGGUUCAAUUCCUGGCUGGGGAA